GAUGGGUUUCAUUCUCAACUGGAAUAUUUAAUGUGACGGUAUGCUUUUCAAGCAAUUUCAAGAAGUGAAAAACUGUAUGAUGGGGUAAAAGUAGAGUUCGUGAUAAUUAGAGGUACAUAGUAUUUGAUCUCUCUUAUCUCAUAAGUAGCAUGUGCAACAUCUAAAUCAUAUUGGACUUGGGACAGUGUCCAUUCUGCAAGUUUACACCCAUCACAUAAUAAAAUUGUUCAAUUACUGCCAGAAAAUUCUGUUACGUAAAUAAAGCUUCUUACGACGAAUUCAGUGACAUAUGGGUUGGAUUUUGGCUUUGAAGCUUUAGAUAAAGGAACCCACCUGACAAUGGACAACUAAGACUGUAUUGUCAUUGUCAUUUUAGCUGUUCACUUACCUCAUGUGAUUGCUGAAGGUGACAUUUUUCUCUCAAAGUUAUCGUCGUAAGCAAUUGCUUUUUUUUUUUCUUUGCAAUAUUUGCUGGAAUAUUUUUUCUCUAACACUUUGGUGUUAAUUUAAAGUUUUUGAAUGCAUUUUCUGUGUUCGGUUUUGAACUUCUUGGAGUUUUCCUGUGCAUACCAAUUUUGCAUCUAGGAGUGGCAAGGAAACUGGUAGGAAUUAUAUUCCCAAGCCAUAGUUUCGUGGAAAUUAGUUAUUGUGUCUUUCGCAUUAUAUUUAUUUACUUAACUUAUGGUUUUUGAAA